CUUUCGUCAUUCCCAAACCCUAACUCAUUUUCACCCGACCUCCUCGUCUUCCUCCUCCGCCUCUGAGCUAGCCAUCUUGGGCACCUCCAUUCCCUUCAACUCUCUCAAGCUUGAUUCUCUAAUUGCAGGCGUCGGAGAACCCCAUGAGGGAAAUCAAGGUCCAAAAGCUCGUCCUCAACAUCUCUGUCGGCGAGAGCGGCGAUCGUCUCACCAAGGCCGCCAAGGUCUUUGGAGCAACUCACCAAGGCCGCCAAGAAUGAAAAACCCCCUAUUAAUUAGCUGUCAGUGUUCUAUACUUGUCUACUCUACUCAUCUUGAUCGCUCAGUCUCAGACUCUCUAUACGACUCCAAGUGAACAUGGGUUGUCUUGGAUUAAAUGAAUUCAUUUAUUGAGAAGCUGUUCAAACCAAUACAAGCGUCCCAAGGACAAGGUGCAGCAGGCCAAAAACAGCCACCUUCAAUUCCCGAGAUGGGUUCUACUUUUCAAGACCGAAAAAGGAAGCGCUUUGCAAUAGAUGGAGAGGAGGAAACAUUCAGUUUGCAGAAUCAGUUGAUUGAGGUCAUGGAAAGGAAUGGUAAAAUGCUGGCUGACUAUUUUGAGGCUCAGAAUUCUCAUUCGCAACUGGAUAGGGAGCAGAGGAAAAAACAUUCUGAUAGCUUAAUUGCUGUUCUUAACAAGCUUGCAGAUGCUUUCAUGAGAAUCGCCGAUAAGUUGUAGGGAAGGCAAUCAGAAAUCAGUGUACAUAAGAGAAGUCUCUUCAAGACUCGUAGAUGUUAGCGGCGCUGAGAAUUGGUGGAUCAAAUUUGAUCAUUUAUCUCGUGGGAGGGCACUGACAUGUUCUUCUACUUAUUUAUUUACUUUAAAUUUUUCUCCCGUCUUGUUGGUCUGUGCUACCUUUGUGGCAUAGUUCCACCAUCAAAUGCAUAGAAUCCAUACACAGAUAAUGUCUAGAAAUUUCAAAGGGUUAACACAUUUUGGCUGCUUUUUCUUAAAUGUUUAGAAUUUCAAAGAUUUAGUACAUUGUGAUGUUUUUCUUUCAUAUAUCCAGCUCUAAUGGAAUUUGAAUUCCCUGUCAAAUGUCUCGGUGACUGUACAGGUUCUUGAUAUCAAUAAGAAUGUUACAUUGUCAGUUACGUCUACUGCUGUUCCUAAUAAGUAGUGCAAAUGGAGGAGGUCCUGACUAUAAAGAACAGCUUGUCAGAAGGGCUGAGAGGGCUGGUUACAAGGCAAUAGUCCUUACUACUGACACUCCAAGGCUCGGGCGCAGGGACGCUGAUAUCAAGAACAGUGGGCGGUAAAGGAUCGGAAAUGGUAUACCCAACAACAACUUGACAAGGUGUGCAUUGAAGUAGCCGACUACUUACAGACUGCUGUAGAUUCUGACCAGUUUCUUGAUUUUGAGUUAGACCAGCUUUUGAUUAACUUUUUGUAUAGCAAUUAUGAACAAAAAUGAAUACUAAUUGCUAGGCUAGCCUUGUAGUAGGUGAGUUGGGGUUUUAUUUUGCCCAUUUUGUAAACUGUUUAGGAUGUGAUUUUAGAUAAAAUAUCCCAAUAUUCAAAUCA